rnacentral:lncRNA from 1 species
GCUGGUAAUGGUCACACUAGGUGGCGUCCGCGUGAGGUGGAGGUGUCAGCGGCUCCUGUCUGCAGCUUCCUGGGGUCCUGGCGGCGCUCUUCUCCUGAGCCAGAAUCCAGCAGGAAGGACAGAAUGGGCGCUAGAGUGUGAAAAGAGGGCGAACUCACGUGGAUGUGACUCUCCGGGUCGCUCUUCCCUGUCACCCAGCUCCUCCUGCCGGUUUCCUGUGGGCAUCGCCUGCAUUGCUUUUAUCCCGGGGACGGAUUAGGGGGUAGGGAAAGUGGGGUGCAGGGAACAAAGGGGAGCUGAGAGGAGAGGUGGCCAAGCAGAGAGGCAAGGGGAUGUUGGGCGAGCCACAGGCCUCUGAGGCGCCCCAAAUCUACACUUAAAUUUCCACCCCCACAUUGAAGGGAAAAAAAAAACCGAAGAGAUUUGGUGGUGUAACAGCCAUGCUUUUUGCAUGAGUGGUUUCCUCCCUUUUCCUACCUCGUGAAGGCAUGUUCAUCUUUCAGAACCCAGCCUGGGUCACUUCUGGAAGUUUCUUGAGCUUUGUCCUUCUUCCGCAGGUACAGCUGCUGUUACCCCACCGGGUUUCUACAGCAGAAAGUCCGAGAGCGAACUCAGAACUGGACAGACUGGCCUUCAUUCCUGGCCUAGUCACCCUCUUGGUGACCUUGGGCAGGUUACCCGAAAUAAUAGUGCUCUUAUCAUAGGGUUGUGGGAAUUAAGUGUCCAAAUAUGUUGUGUAAAUGCUUCCUAAGUGCUUGUUGUAUAGUAAAUGUUCGAUAAAUACUGUUUUCCUAAGGGGAAGGAGAGGAAAGGAUAAUGCACUUUAAUUUUUCUUGAGAAAGUCUUUAUUACAUUAAGCAAGCCUUGAUUUGUAAUCUUUUUCUAUUUUUUUACUUUUUAUUACUAUUAUUUUUAUUUUAUUUUAUUUUUUGAGACGGAGUUUUGCUCUUGUUGCCCAGGCUGGAGUGCAAUGAUGCUAUCUCAGCUCACUGCAACCUCCGCCUCCCAGGUUCAAGCGAUUCUCCUGCCUCGGCCUCCCAAGUAGCUGGGAUUACAGGCGCCGGCUACCAUGCCCAGCUAAUUCUGUAUUUUUAGUAGAGGCAGGGUUUCACCAUGUUGGUCAGGCUGGCUGGUUUCGAACUCCUGACUUCGGGUGAUCCACCCGCCUCAGCCCUCCAAAGUGCUGGGAUUACAGACUCACAUAAGCCACCGUGCCGGGCCUAUUAUUAUUAUUUUAUGUAUAUAUAUGUGUCUAUAUAAUUUUUUUUUUGAGACGGAGUCUUGCUCUAUCGCCCGGGCCAGAGUGCAGUGGCAUGACCUUGGCUCACUGCAGCCUCUGCCUCCUCUGCUCAAGCGAUUCUUCAGCCUCAGCCUCCCGAGUAGCUGGGGUUACAGGCACUGGCCACUACGCCCGGCUAAUUUUUGUAUUUUCAGUAGAGACAGUUUUCACCAUGUUGGCCAGGCUAGUCUGGAACUCCUGACCUCAGGUGAUCUGCCCACCUCGGCCUCCCACCGAGCCUCAUUUGCAAUCUUUUUUAAAAAAGACAAACAGGUACACUUUGGGAGGCUGAGGCGGGUGGAUCACGAGGUCAGGAGAUCAAGACCAUCCUGGCUAACACAGCGAAACCCCGUCUCUAUUAAAAAUACAAAAAAGUUAGCUGGGCGUGGUGGCUGGCGCCCGUAGUCCCAUGAACCCAGGAGGCAGAGCUUGCAGUGAGCCAAGAUUGCGCCACUGCACUCCAGCCUGGGCAAAAGAGAAAGAGCGAGACUCCGUCUCAAAAAUAUAUAUAUAUAUAAUUAAAUAUAUAAACAUACAAUCCACAUACCUAGUGUGGUUUUUUUGUUUUGUUUUGUUUUGUUUUUGAGACAGAGUCUUUCUCUUUCACCCAGGCCGUUCAGUGGCACAAUCUCGGCUCACUGCAACCUCCGCCUCCCUGGUUCAAGCGAUUCUCCUGCGUCAGCCUCCUGAGUAGCUGGGACUACAAGCACAUCCCACCAUGCCUGGCUAAUUUUUGUAUUUUUAGUAGAGACGGGGUUUCAUCAUGUUGGCCAGGAUGGUCUCCAUCUCCUGACCUUGUGAUCCACCCGCCUAUGCCUCCCAAAGUGCAGGGAUUACAGGCGUGAGCCGCUGUGCCUGGCCCUGGUGUGCUAUUUUUAUUUUUUAUUUUUUAUUUUUAUUUUUUUUGAGACGGAGUCUUGCUCUGUCGCCCAAGCUGGAGUGCAGUGGCGCGAUGUCAGCUCACUGCAAGCUCCGCCUCCCGGGUUCACACCGUUCUCCUGCCUCAGCCUCCCAAGUAGCUGGAACGAUAGGCGCCUGCCACGACGCCUGGCUAAUUUUGUUUGUUUGUUUGUUUUUUGAGUCUCGCUCUGUCGCCCAAGCUGGAGUGCAGUGGCAAGAUCUCGGCUCACUGCAAGCUCCGCCUCCCAGGUUCACGCCAUUCUCCUGCCUCAGUCUCCCCAGUAGCUGGGACUACAGGCACCCGCCACCACGCCCAGCUAAUUUUUUUGUAUUUUUAGUAGGGAAGGGGUUUCAUCGUGUUAGCCAGGAUGGUCUCGAUCUCCUGACCUCGUGAUCUGCCUGUCUUGGCCUCCCAAAGUGCUGGGAUUACAGAAGUGAGCCACUGUGCCUGGCCCAUUUUUUUGUAUUUUUAAUAAAAACGGGGUUUCACCGUGUUAGCCAGGAUGGUCUCGAUCUCAUGACCUCGUGAUCCGCCCGCUUUGGCCUCCCAAAGUGCUGAGAUUACAGGCUUGAGCCACCACGCCCAGCUGCUGUGCUAUUUUUGAAAGAUUCCUUUAUCUCUUGGUUAUAAAAAAUUAAUUCAUGGCCAUUGCUUAUUUUUUCAAAAAUUAUAUCAAAAUGGUUCAGUUAAAGACACUUAACCAUUUGGAUUAUAAAUUUAGUCAUUUCCUUCUACCCUUACCCCACAAAAUUAGUGAGAUCCUUGGGUUGGCGCUCCAGAGACCACUCUGGCCUACAUAUGUCCCAGGCCAUUUCUCCUGCCAGGUGAGAUAAAAAGGAAAUGAAUGCAGCUGCUUCUUUGAAAAAGUCUUUGUUCUGGGGCAAAUCUCCUCAGCCUAGACCUUAACUCUUUGGCUGGGAAAGCUGCCGGGUUGAGAAAUGGGCUGGCAGAGAGGUGUUGAUUUGUUGCCCCCUACAGGCUGCACUCAGCGAGCUUUGAUUAGUUUGAGAAAAAACGGAUGCUCCUUAGGGAUCUGUAAAGAAAUGAAACAAGUGAAUGCAAAGAUAAACGAAGAGCAGGGUCCAGGGAAUGCUUGUGAACAUCAGCCUAUCAGUCACAAUACCAUAGCACUUAGGACAUGGAAAGAUGACCACUGGCCGGGCUUGGUGGCUCAUGCCUGUAAUCCCAGCACUUUUGGAGGCUAAGGCAGGUGGAUCACUUGAGGCCAGGAGUUCAAGACCAGCCUGGCCAACAUGGUGAACUGAAAAUACAAAAAUUAGCCGGGCAUGGUGGUGGGCACCUGUAGUCCCAGCUACUCGGGAGGCUGAGCCAGGAGAAUUGCUUGAAUCUGGGAGGCAGAGGUUGCAGUGAGCCAAGAUCAUGCCACUGCACUCUAGCCUGGGCUACAGAGCGAGACUCCAUCUCAAAGACAAAACAAAACAAAACAAAACACCCGGGCACGGUGGUUCACGCCUGUAAUCCCAGCACUUUGGGAGGCCAAGGCAGGCAGAUCACUUGAGGUCAGGAGUUUGAGACCAGCUUGGCCAAUAUGGUGAAACCUCGUCUCUACCAAAACUAUAAAAAAUUAGCCAGGUGUAGUGGUACGUGCCUGUAAUCUCAGCUACUUGGGAGGCUGAGGCAGGAGAAUCACUUGAAUCCAGGAGGCAGAGGAUGCAGUGAGCCAAGAUCACACCACUGCACUCCAGCCUGGGCAACAGAGCGAGACUGUCUCAAAAAAAAAAGUUUUGGCCGGGUGUGGUAGCUCGUGCCUAUAAAGUCAGCACUUUGGGAGGCUGAGGCGGGUGGAGAGCUUGAGCUCAGGACUUCGAGACCAGCCUGGGUGACAAAGUGAGACCCUGUCUCUACAAAAAAUAAAAACAAUUAGUUGGGUAUGGUGGUGCACGCCUGUAGUCCUAGCUACUUGGGAGGCAGAGGUGGGAGGAUGGCUUGAACCUGGCAGGCAGAAGUUGCAGUGAGCUGAGGUCAGGCCAUUGCACUUCGGCCUGGGUGACAGAGCCAGAUCCUGUCUCAAAAAAAAAAAAAAAUUAGUUUUAGUGCUCUCUUCAGCAGCACAUAUACUAAAAUUGGAAUGAUACAGAGGUUAGUAUGACCCCUGUGCAAGAAUGACACACAAAUUCAUGAAGCAUUUCAUAUAAAGCUGAACAAUUUUUUAUUUAAAAAAAAUGAGUUUUAAUUAAGAAUAUCCACACAUUAAGAUACCUAGAACCUUCUAUACUUUGUCAGUGCACCCUACUCUGUUGAAUGGGAACUGGAAUCUGUCAUUUGAGAAGGCAUUUACAUUUAGCAGCAAGAUUCAAGUGAAAGUCCCUGUUCCAGGUUCUGGAAUAUCAGGCUGUGGUCAGCAUGGGUCUAUCAAAGGCAGCAACUCUCCACAACGAGAAUUCAGUUUCAGACACGCCAAGUCAUCCGACCGUGUGGGCCCAAUGUUCAGUAUUGCAAUCGGGAGCUUCUUCUCCCAGGCAGUGAGGAUAAACCUGUAACCAGAGUAUACCUGCACGGAGAAAAGACACACAUAAGAAUGUCUAGGUUCUCUAGAUCUAGAAAAAGUUAAACCAAACAGGGUGUCUCUCCAGGACUCCCAAUCCCGCACAAGGGGUGGUUACCACUCUUGCCAAGUCAGAUACCUGCAAGGAUGAUCCCACCACCAAGAGGGAGUCGGCUUCUUUUACACGCUUGUGCACAAAAUCAACCUUGUCAGGGUUCACUGUGUCCCCGAAGAAAACGACAUCUGGUUUCAGAUGGCCUCCACAUUGAACGCAGGUUGGGACCUGAAAGCUCCGGACUUGCUCCUCUGAGAGAAAGACGUCACCAUCAGGAGCCAGGCCAUGGGCCUCAGCACUCCAGGUGGGGUUCAGGACUUGGAAACGCUCUUGCAGCACCCCCCGGGGAGUCUGUUCCCCACAAUCCAAGCACAGGACCCUGGAACCAAGGAAGACGCUGACUGAACAGUAUGCCCUUGGGAGGCACAAAGCUGUCAGAGACGUUUCAUCUCCAACCAUUUUCAGCCCUUCCAUCGCUGCUUUCUUUCCCUAACACACAAUCCCCACCCCAUUUUAGCCAUACUUUCUAUUUUAUUUUUUUUAUUUUUGGAGACAGGGUCUGGCUGUUGCCCAGGCUGGAAUGCAGUGGCACGAUCUCAGCUCACUGCAGCCUCAACCUCCUGGGCUCAGGUUAUCCUCCCACCUCAUCCUCCUGAGUGGCAGGGACUGCACUACAAACACGCGCCAUCUCGCCCAGCUAAUUUUUGUAGUUUUGGUAGAGACGGUGUUUCACUGUGUCGCCCAGGCUGGUCUCAAACUCCUGGCCUCAAGUGAUCCUCCCUCCUUGGCCUCCCAAAGUGCUGGGAUUACAGGUGUGAGCCACUGCGCCCAGCCCAUCAAUUUCCUUCCUAUACACUCCUUCCUAACCUUCUGCUAUAGCUCACUUUUAUCCUUAACAUGACUGCAAAUGCCUUGCCUGCUGAUUUCCUUAAUGCCCAAACCUGCGUUUUUCCCUCUAUACUUUCCCUUGCUCAUCUGCUGAAUUUGCCACUGUCUAUUACCAUUCCUUCUAAAAUGCUUCUCCUUCUUGGUUUCCAGGACACAGUGUCUCCUGGUUCUCUUCUCACCUCUUUUUUUUUUUUUUUUUUUUUUUUUUUUUGAGAGCAAGUUUCACUCUCAUUGCCCAGGUUGGAGUGCAAUGGCAUGAUCUUGGCUCACCGCAACCUCCACCUCCUGGUCUCAAGCGAUUCUCCUGCCUCAGCCUCCUGAGUAGCCGGGAUUACAGGCAGGCUCUACCACACCCGACUAAUUUUUUUUGUAUUUUUAGUAGAGACGGGGUUUCUCCAUGUUGGUAAGGCUGGUCUCAAACUCCCGACCUCAGGUGAUCCGCCUGCCUUGGCCUCCCAAAGUGCUGGGAUUACAGGUGUGAGCCACUGCACCUGGCCCCCCUUCUCACCUCUCCAAUCACCAGAGCUUGAGCCAGUGAGGGAGAGCACUUUGUGUCUGUUUUU